UACGUAGGGGGCUAGCGUUGCUCGGAAUCACUGGGCGUAAAGCGCACGUAGGCGGCCUCUUAAGUCGGUGGUGAAAUCCUGGAGCUCAACUCCAGAACUGCCUUCGAUACUGGGAGUCUCGAGUCCGGGAGAGGUGAGUGGAACUGCGAGUGUAGAGGUGAAAUUCGUAGAUAUUACGCGGAAGGCCAAAGGCGAAGGCAGGUUACUGGUACGCAACUGACGCUGAGGCACGAAAGCGUGGGGAGCAAACAGG
rnacentral:rRNA from 1 species